rnacentral:rRNA from 1 species
AUUGAACGCUGGCGGCAUGCUUUACACAUGCAAGUCGAACGGCAGCGCGGGCUUCGGCCUGGCGGCGAGUGGCGAACGGGUGAGUAAUAUAUCGGAACGUACCCAGAAGUGGGGGAUAACGUAGCGAAAGUUACGCUAAUACCGCGUACGAUCUACGGAUGAGAGCAGGGGAUCGCAAGACCUUGUGCUUUUGGAGCGGCCGAUAUCUGAUUAGCUAGUUGGUGAGGUAAAGGCUCACCAAGGCGACGAUCAGUAGCUGGUCUGAGAGGACGACCAGCCACACUGGAACUGAGACCCGGUCCAGACUCCUACGGGAGGCAGCAGUGGGGAAUUUUGGACAAUGGGGGCAACCCUGAUCCAGCAAUGCCGCGUGAGUGAAGAAGGCCUUCGGGUUGUAAAGCUCUUUUGUCAGGGAAGAAACGGGAGUGGCUAAUAUCCAUUCCUAAUGACGGUACCUGAAGAAUAAGCACCGGCUAACUACGUGCCAGCCGCCGCGGUAAUAC